rnacentral:rRNA from 1 species
CUGCAAGUGGUUGAUCAAGCUAUAGUUUCACUUACCAGGAGGUUUGAGCAAUAUCAGGGGUAUGAAAAAACUUUUGGUUUCUUAUUUACUUCAGAUAGGCUGCGAUCUAUGGAUGAUAAGAGUUUGCUGGCUGCUUGUGUUAAUCUUGAGGAUGCACUUAAGAGUGGAGAACACAAAGAUAUUGAUGGAGUUGAAUUGUUUUACGAGUUAAUUUUCAUCCAGGAUUUAGUUAAGAAAUCUAUGGGCCCCGUUGAUAUUCUUGAGAUUCCGAUGAAGCGCCCCUUCUAUCCUAAUGCUAUUAUUGCGUACAGGAUUUUGUUAACCAUUCCUGUAACUGUUGCAACUGCGGAAAGGAGCUUCUCUAAACUCAAGUUGUUGAAAUCAUAUUUGCGUUCAACUAUGACACAAGAAAGACUCAAUGGUUUAGCGACAAUAGCACUUGAAAAUGAUGUCUUGGAGAAGAUUAAUUAUGAAGAUGUAAUUGAAGAUUUCAUUUCAAGGAACACAAGACGGAUGACACUUUUCAAUAGAGGA